GUGGGGAAUUUUGGACAAUGGGCGCAAGCCUGAUCCAGCAAUGCCGCGUGCAGGAAGAAGGCCUUCGGGUUGUAAACUGCUUUUGUACGGAACGAAACGGUCCUGGUUAAUACCUGGGGCUAAUGACGGUACCGUAAGAAUAAGCACCGGCUAACUACGUGCCAGCAGCCGCGGUAAUACGUAGGGUGCGAGCGUUACUCGGAAUUACUGGGCGUAAAGCGUGCGCAGGCGGUGCUGUAAGACAGGCGUGGAAUCCGCGGGCUCAACCUGUGAAUUGCGCUUGUGACUGCAGUGCUGGAGUACGGCAGAGGGGGAUGGAAUUCCGCGUGUAGCAGUGAAAUGCGUAGAUAUGCGGAGGAACACCGAUGGCGAAGGCAGUCCCCUGGGCCUGUACUGACGCUCAUGCACGAAAGCGUGGGGAGCAAACAGGAUUAGAAACCCCGGUAGUCC
rnacentral:rRNA from 1 species